CGGACUAGCAAGUCCUUUGUGAAAUCGGGCGGCUUAACCGUUCGGCUUGCAAGGGAAACUGUUAGUCUUGGGGCCGACAGGCGCCGAGGGUACUCCGGGGGUAGCGGUGAAAUGCUAUAAUCCCUGGGGGACCGCCGGUGGCGAAAGCGCUCGGCGAGGUCGGACCCGACGGUGAGGGACGAAAGCCAGGGGAGCGAACCGGAUUAGAUACCCGGGUAGUCCUGGCCGUAAAGGAUGUGAGCUAAGUGCUGGACGUUCCUCGAGAGCGCUCGGUGCUGAAGGGAAGCCGUUAAGCUCACCACCUGGGAA
rnacentral:rRNA from 1 species